rnacentral:rRNA from 1 species
CCUACGGGCGGCAGCAGUGGGGAAUAUUGGACAAUGGGGGGAACCCUGAUCCAGCCAUGCCGCGUGUGUGAAGAAGGCCCUCGGGUUGUAAAGCACUUUCAGUGAGGAAGAACGCCUGGUGGUUAAUACCCAUCAGGAAAGACAUCACUCACAGAAGAAGCACCGGCUAACUCCGUGCCAGCAGCCGCGGUAAUACGGAGGGUGCGAGCGUUAAUCGGAAUUACUGGGCGUAAAGCGCGCGUAGGUGGCUUGAUAAGCCGGUUGUGAAAGCCCCGGGCUCAACCUGGGAACGGCAUCCGGAACUGUCAAGCUAGAGUGCAGGAGAGGAAGGUAGAAUUCCCGGUGUAGCGGUGAAAUGCGUAGAGAUCGGGAGGAAUACCAGUGGCGAAGGCGGCCUUCUGGACUGAAACUGACACUGAGGUGCGAAAGCGUGGGUAGCAAACAGGAUUAGAUACCCUUGUAGUC